rnacentral:rRNA from 1 species
AGUCGAACGCGCCUAGCGAUAGGCGAGUGGCGGACGGGUGAGUAACGCGUGGGAACCUGCCCUUGAGUGCGGGAUAACCGAGGGAAACUUCGGCUAAUACCGCAUGCGCCCCCUCACGGGGGGAAAGAUUUAUCGCUCGAGGAGGGGCCCGCGUCGGAUUAGCUAGUUGGUGGGGUAACGGCCUACCAAGGCGAUGAUCCGUAGCUGGUCUGAGAGGAUGAUCAGCCACACUGGGACUGAGACACGGCCCAGACUCCUACGGGAGGCAGCAGUAGGGAAUAUUGGACAAUGGGGGCAACCCUGAUCCAGCAAUGCCGCGUGAGUGAUGAAGGCCUUAGGGUUGUAAAGCUCUUUCGCACGCGACGAUGAUGACGGUAGCGUGAGAAGAAGCCCCGGCUAACUUCGUGCCAGCAGCCGCGGUAAUACGAAGGGGGCGAGCGUUGUUCGGAAUUACUGGGCGUAAAGGGCGCGCAGGCGGCCGAUCAAGUCAGGCGUGAAAGCCCCGGGCUUAACCUGGGAAUUGCGCUUGGGACUGAUGGGCUUGAGUUCGGGAGAGGAGAGUGGAAUUCCCAGUGUAGAGGUGAAAUUCGUAGAUAUUGGGAAGAACACCGGUGGCGAAGGCGGCUCUCUGGACCGAUACUGACGCUGAGGCGCG